UACGUAGGGUGCGAGCGUUGUCCGGAAUUACUGGGCGUAAAGAGCUCGUAGGUGGUUUGUCGCGUUGUUCGUGAAAACUCACAACUCAAUUGUGGGCGUGCGGCGAUACGGGCAGACUGGAGUACUGCAGGGGAGACUGGAAUUCCUGGUGUAGCGGUGGAAUGCGCAGAUAUCAGGAGGAACACCGGUGGCGAAGCGGGUCUCUGGCAGUAACUGACGCUGGAGGAGCGAAAGCGUGGGAGCGAACAGG
rnacentral:rRNA from 1 species